rnacentral:misc_RNA from 1 species
CAAGGGAAGUGAACCAUAACAAGAUAGCACCAGCAUCACCAGAACAGUACCUUCCAAUUCCCAUUGAAAGUAACCAGGUGUUGCGUUCACCCAAAGAUGGCAUCACAGACCUAUCAAUUAUGGAUCGAACAUUGCGAAACAAAAAGCAAAUGGAUAUUGAGGUAAAUGGAAUCCAUGAAAAUGGUUUGCAGGCAGAGAAGAAAUUGAGCUGGCGGAAUAACCGUAGGUUGUGUUGCUUCAGUCUGAGCCACCGGUAAAUGAUACCUUGAGAGGGAAGAAAUUUAGAUGGUG